rnacentral:lncRNA from 7 species
AUGGGGGUGGGUUGGCGGUUGGAUGUGACGAAAGCAGAGCUCUCUCCCCACCCCAACGAUCCCAUCCUUGUCCUCUCCCCCCUGUCCCGCAGUGGUACGUGCAGGCGACGUGUGCCACGCAGGGCACGGGGCUGUACGACGGGCUGGACUGGCUGUCCCACGAGCUCUCCAAGCGCUAAGACGUGUUUGGACAUCCCAUCCAACGGCUGUUCUUCGGACUUGGAGCUCGGCGACCCACAGCUGUGUCCCCGAGCGUUGGGACGGACCCCACUUCUUACCCACCAGGAAUUGAAUGGGGAAUGGGAGGUUAAUAAAGUGCUGCCCGCACCGUGCUGGGCUGCAGAGGAGGUGGGCAGAGCUCUGUGGUGCAUUUGUCCUCGGGACGCCCUGCAAUGGGGCGUGAUGCCCAGGGAGAGGUUUGGGACGGCGGGGUGGGCUGUGGGGUGUGCGGUGUAGGGGUGUUAAUUGGGCUGCAAUUAGCAGGAGUGCAUGGAGUCUGACAGAAGGGGGUGAGUGCUGGGGGGGUACUGGGCUCUGGAUGUCGUUGUGGGGUGCUGGUGUCCCUGUGGGGGGCUGGAUGUCCCUAUGGGGUGUUGGUUGUCCCUAUGGGGUGCUGCUGUCCUCAUGGAGUGCUGUCCCUAGGGGGUGUUGGCUGUCCUUACGGGGUGAUGUCCCUAUGGGAUGCUGCUGUCUUCACGGGGUUCUGGCUGUCCCUGUUGGGUUCUGGCUGUUCCUAUGGGGUUCCGGCUGUCCCUAUGGAGUACUGGCUGUCCCUAUGGGGUGCUGACUGUCCCUAUGGGGUGCUGGCUGUCUCUAUGGGGUGCUGGAUGUCCCUAUGGGGUGCUGGCUGUCCCUGUGGGGUGCUGACUGUCCCUAUGGAGUACUGGCUGUCUCUAUGGGGUGCUAUCCCUAGGGGGUUCUGGCUGUCCCUAUGGGGUGCUGACUGUCCCUAUGGGGUGCUGGCUGUCUCU